CAGGGGAGGCAUAGCAAUUGAUAGGUGGCAAUGCAAGUGACAGGUGGCAAUGCAAGUCAGGAGAGGCAUAGCAAUUGACAGGUGGCAAUACAAGUCAGGAGAGGCAUAACAAGUGACAGGUGGCGAUGCAAGUCAGGAGUGGCGAUGCAAGUGACAGGUGGCAAUGCAAGUCAGGAAAGGCAUAGCAAGUGACAGGUGGCGAUGCAAGUCAGGAGUGGCGAUGCAAGUGACAGGUGGCAAUGCAAGUCAGGAGAGGCAUAGCAAUUGACAGGUGGCAAUGCAAGUGACAGGUGGCAAUGCAAGUCAGGAGAGGCAUAGCAAUUGACAGGUGGCAAUGCAAGUGACAGGUGGCAAUGCAAGUCAGGGGAGGCAUAGCAAUUGAUAGGUGGCAAUGCAAGUGACAGGUAGCAAUGCAAGUCAGGAGAGGCAUAGCAAUUGACAGGUGGCAGUGCAAGUGACAGGUGGUGAUGCAAGUCAGAAGUGGCGAUGCAAGUGACAGGUGGCGAUGCAAGUGACAGUUGGCAAUGCAAAUGAUAGGUGGCAAUGCAAGUGACAGGAGGUGAUGCAAGUGACAGGUGGCAAUGCAAGUCAGGGGAGGCAAUGCAAUUGACAGGUGGCCAUGCAAGUGACAGGAGGCGAUGCAAGUGACAGGUGGUGAUACAAGUCAGGGGAGGCAAUGCAAUUGACAGGAGGCAAUGCAAGUGACAGGUGGUGAUGCAAGUCAGGGGACGCAAUGCAAUUGACAGGUAGCAAUGCAAGUGACAGGUAGCAAUGCAAUUGAUAGGUGGCAAUGCAAUUGACAGGUGGCAAUGCAAGUGACAGGUGGUGAUGCAAUUGACAGGUAGCAAUGCAAGUGACAGGUGGUGAUGCAAGUCAGGGGACGCAAUGCAAUUGACAGGUGGCGAUGCAAAUCAGGGGACGCAAUGCAAUUGACAGGUGGCAAUGCAAUUGACAGGUGGCAAUGCAAUUGACAGGUGGCAAUGCAAGUGACAGGUGGUGAUGCAAGUGACAGGUAGCAAUGCAAGUGACAGGUGGCGAUGCAAGUGACAGGUAGCAAUGCAAGUGACAGGUGGCGAUGCAAGUGACAGGAGGCGAUGCAAGUCAGGAGUGGCGAUCCAAGUGACAGGUGAAAAUGCAAGUCAGGGGAGGUGAUGAAAGUGACAGGAGGCGACACAAGUCAGGAGUGGCAAUGCAAGUGACAGGAGGGGACGCAAGUCAGGGGAGGCGAUGCAAGUGACAGGAGGCGACGCAAGUCGGAGGCGGUGCGAGAGUGGGGGUGUGGGGUGCAGGUUUGCGGGCUCUCCGGGUGUGUGCGUGUUGGUGCCUCGCCAGGGACUCGACGCCCCAGUUGCUGGGGGGUUUCCCUACUGAGCGGCGGCAGCACGCAGGGAAUGAAUGAAUGAAUGAA